rnacentral:rRNA from 1 species
UUGGGCAUAAAGGGCAUCUAGGCGGCCAGAUAAGUCUGGGGUGAAAACUUGCGGCUCAACCGCAAGCCUGCCCUGGAAACUAUGUGGCUAGAGUACUGGAGAGGUGGACGGAACUGCACGAGUAGAGGUGAAAUUCGUAGAUAUGUGCAGGAAUGCCGAUGAUGAAGAUAGUUCACUGGACGGUAACUGACGCUGAAGUGCGAAAGCUAGGGGAGCAAACAGGAUUAGAUACCCUGGUAGUCCUAGCUGUAAACGAUGAUUACUGGGUGUGGGCAUGAAGAGUGUCCGUGCCGAAGCUAAUGCGAUAAGUAAUCCGCCUGGGGAGUACGGCCGCAAGGCUGAAACUCAAAGGAAUUGACGGGGACCCGCACAAGCGGUGGAGCAUGUGGUUUAAUUCGACGCAACGCGAGGAACCUUACCAGAUCUUGACAUCCUGCGUAGGCCUGCGAGAGCAGGCUGUGCCUUAGGGAACGCAGAGACAGGUGGUGCAUGGCUGUCGUCAGCUCGUGUCGUGA